GCUCCCGAGAAAGGAGAAGGCUUCUGGCAACUCUGCCUCUCUCCAGAUUUGGGGGAAAGGGCCCUGCCCCUUGAGGGGAAGCUGCGCAGGCCUCUGCACUUCACCUGCUGAAAGGGAGGCCAUUUAGAAGAAGGAUAUCAUCUCAGUGAUCCUGCUAGGAAAGGGGGCCAGCAUGGAAAAUCUCCCUGGGGCCAGGGCCAGGCAGGAGCAGCCUUUGUCUGGCAGGAGACGGAGAGGAUGAUGUCAAGUCCACCUGGGCUGGGUCCUGGCCUCCAGCCACGCCCCACACCCACCUUGGCAGGGCUGGAGCCCUGUGAUCCGGCCCUUCCUUGCCUGGGCUCCUUGGCCGAAGCUGGGAAUGGCUGAAAUCUAGGGGUUCGCCCACCAAACAGGAUCUGCUCCUAUUCCAGCCUCUGUUUCUGGAUAAUAUGGAAGAGGUCCUGCAGCAAGGGAUGAGAAAAUUGAGGCUCACAGAGCUGAGCAGACUUGAAGGCAAUCAAACAGCUAAUGGAUCAUCCCCACGCUACCGAGGGAGUGGAAACUCAUCUAUCUAACAGAGUCACAUGGCAUCACCUCCAUUGUAUUUUACUGAUGGAAGCAGCCACAACCCUCACAGAUUCAAGGGAAGAAGGACAUAGAUCCCACCCUUCCCUGGAAAGAGUGCCAAAGGAUACUGGGACCAUGCUUCUAAACUACCACAGAUCUGAAGACUGGGGCUCCCAGAGUGCAGAGCUUGGCUGUCACUACCUGCCUCUGCCCCAUCCUGCCUGUCCAUGACAACGAAGGCCAAGGAGUCCUCAGGCCCUACGCCCAGGGGGGGUCGGCAACUGGGAGAGGUAUGUGGGGGGAUGCAUAUGCCCAAGGGGUAUUUAAGUCUGUGCCUGCUUUGUACAAGCACUGGCAUGUGUGCCUGAACAGGGGAGGGUUACUCCACUCACUAGAAGAUACUGUGCCAUGGCCAAACUCCCCUCUUGUAGGGCACAGACUUUCCAGCGCAGUGGAGAAGCUGAGGCAGGACCAAAAGGAUGAGAGGGGUUCAAGAGGAAGGGGCUGAGUCAAGAGUGUGCUGAGCCAGAAAAAGGUCCAUGAGGGUUGGAGGAGCUAGCGCUCUGGUCCUGGGGUCUUGGGGCUCAGGGUUCCCAAGAAGCUAGCAACAGCUAAUCAUCAGAAACCACUGACAGUUUCCUGGGAGCACAGGGAAACAUUUGCAGAUUGGGAGUGGAAGACCUGGGGGCUCAGGCAGGCCUGGAGAAAUGCAUGGUCUUCACUCCUUGCCCUGAGGUCAAGAAGGGAGCCACCUCUCCAGUACCCCACCUGUCCCCGCUGUCCCUGGAGCUGAUCUAGGCCUCCAGUCCAACCUCAUACCACAGGAGCCCAAGGCAAAGCAGCCAAGGCAGGCCAAUGUCCCAGGGUGUGGCAACCUGUCACCCAGUCUCCCUCAUCCCCUCCAAGGCAGGGACUUGCACAGCCAUAUUUCCAACAGGCUCUCAAUAGAGUUGCUGAGUGAAGGAGGAGUGGGUGUCUGCAGGAGUUGGUGGCGGGCUGGGGUCAGCCCCCCGCGGCCCCACCCUCUCUGCUCAGCCUCCAGGCAGGAUGACUACAGCCCUAGGCCUCAUGCCCACUCCAGAGGCCCACCCAGACCCUCAGGCACUUCCUGAGCAGCAGGACACAUCCUGCCCUGCAUGCCCCUGGAAAGAGGCCGCUUAUCAGAGGGAAAAGGACACUUUGUUCAGGCCUGGCCAUCUGCCUGGGCUGCGGGUGCCCUACUCAGGGCCUGGCUGGCAGAGGCAGGAAGAUCCCUGUAAGCAGGGAUGGAAGGCCUUGGGGAGAGCAAAUGAGCAAGGCUCCAUGCCUCAGGCCUCUCCCUUUCAGAGGUCAACUUGGCCUCUCCCUUCCCCUGCACCAUUCUUUCUUCUUUCCAUUCGUCUCCUACCUCUCUGACUCCUGAUGGAGUUUUUCCCUCGCUCACUCACUCCAUUCAUUCACUUAAGCAAUAUUUAAGGAACACUUAGAAUGUGCUAGUAAAGUUCGAGGCCCUGUGGACACAGCAGCAAGCAAAACAGGCAACAAUGUCUGCCCUUAUGAAGCUUACGUUCCAGUUGAGAGACAAUAAGCACACAUACACACAAAUGAAAUAGGUGCUACAUUAGAUGAUUAAAGUGCUUGGAAGAAAAGCAAGGCAGGAGCACAAGGACAGAGCCAGUUUCAGGGAAUGAAAGGGAAUAAAUGCCUCCCCCCCGCCCCCCCACAACAUAUACAGUGGAUAAGAAGCCCUCCUGAGAAGGUGACAGCCAAAGACCUUAAGGAGGCAAGGAAAUGAAUCACAUAAAUUCCUAAAGGCAGAGCCUCCAAAGCAGAGGGAACAGCAAGUGCAAAGGCCCUGAAGCAGGAGUGUGUGGGGGGGGCAGGGGGGAGAGUGUUUGCAAGGAACAGCAAAGAAGCUGGUGAGGCCAGAGCACACAGAGCAAGGAGGGCAGCAGGAGAGGGGGUCAGAGACGGAGCAGCAACUAGAUAAAGAGGGGCCUUAUCACCCUUGGAAGGACUUUGGCUCACACUUACUGAUGGGGAACCAGUGUGGAGCUCUGAACAGAGGAUUUAUGUUUUAAAAUAACAGUAGCUCAUGUUACAUAGUGUAUUGUAUGUAUCAGCCACUUUUCUAAACACCAAACAUGUAUUAACCUGUUUAAUCCUCCUAAUGACUUUUAUUAAAGCUGAGGAAACUGAGCUAGAGAGGUCUCUACACACUAGAUGUUAGUAGCACCCUCCCCUAACUUGUCACAAACCAAAAAUGUCUCCAGACAGUGCCAAAUGGCUCCUAGCAGAAAGAAUGUCCCUGGUUGAGAAUGACUACCUAAGUGUCCUCCUGUCCACCCCAUCUGCCCCUGUCCCAGCUCAGGCCCACACCCUUCUCACUAGGACACUUGAGAGCCUCCAAAUUGGCCAAUCCUGUCCCCUCCACCCUCCACAGUACAUCUUACCAAGCCAUUUAGGAUGGUAUUAGUGGUCCUAUACAAUCUGGCCCCUGCCUAUCUUUCCAGCAAUAGCCUUGAGCCCCUCCCCUCCCUUCCCCCCUCAGUCUAGCAGCAUGUGUUGAGUCUAUUGUGUGCCAACCACUACAGUGGACACUGUAGACACUGCCGACGGGAGCCCAGGCCCCCCAGGACCCAUCCUGUCCUCACAGAGUAUCUGUCCAGGGUAGGGAAGAGCAGGUGAGCUGACAGCUCCUGCUCAUGCAGAGCCAGGGAGAUUUGAGUGCUCCAGGAGAAGAGGUGCUGGAGCUGAGCUGUAUGACAUGGGCAGGGCUUAUUGAGGAGGGGCAGGGAGGACCUGGGCAUGGUGGGGCAGCAGCUUAGAGAGGCCCAGGAAGCUGUGGCUGUGAUUUGGGGCUCCAGGAAAGGCCUGGAGAGAGCACGUGUGAAGAGGGACUGAUGGCAGGGAGCAAAGGAUGACAUAUGAACAGGUGGACAGAACAGGAGGCCCAGGAGAGACGUCUGGGAUGGCUCACGGAGGUGGACAGAGGGAUGUGGUGCCCACUGGACACUUUCCCAUCAGGACAGCGUUCUCCUGGCAGGCAUGCCCUCCCCCCCCCCCCAUUUCAUCCAUCGAAUUCUCCCUCCCCCUGCUAGUCCAAAUCACAAAUGGUGCCUCCUCCUUGAAGCCUUCUGGAUUCCUCCCUGCUGAUAUGACUGGCUCCCUCCAGCAUACUGUCCGAACCUCAUCAUCUGCUUUCAUUGCAGGAGUCUGCUGUUACCCCACUCCCCCGACUGUGAAUUUCCUGUGAGCAGGGAGGUAUCUUAUCCUCCUCUCCCCAUGAAUUAAGUCAGACCGCCUCUGGGCUCUGCCCCUGCGAGGGGCCUGGGGGUGGGGGCAGGGGGCCAGGCUGCAUUUGCGGCACCUCGCACCUCAGUGCUGCCCUCGCACUGCAGUGGCCCACACACGACUGGGGCCUACCACUAGCCUUCCUGGGCCUUCUCCCGCUCCAAGCCCAGGGUGCCCCUCUCUGCCCUCAGGGGCGGGGCUGGGAGGUUGCCCUGGGGGAGCCCCUGGCUGACUGCUGCACAGAGGUGCGGGCCAGGGGGCGCUCCCUGGUGGGAGAUCCCCCCCACAGCAGCCCCCAGUCAGUACCCCUGUAAUAAUUACAGCAGUGAGGCCACCUGCCUCACGACUCCAGCAGCCUCCCUGCUGCAGGCUGCAGUCCCUGCCUCUAUAGUCUCAUUCCCCCUCAGCAGCCAAGGAGGACUCUGAAACCAUAAACCACAUCAGGUCACUCCUCGCUGUGUUCAAAUAAUCCCCAGAAAAAACUCAGAUGGGCUAAAUACAUGUCCUCUCCCUUCCCUCCAGACCUCACCUAUUAUUCCCUCUCCCUCACUCCCUGUCCCCACCCCCCACCCUCCUUCUUCCCCUUCUUCAAACACACUGGAGCCUGCUCCUGCCUCAGGGCACCUGCACUUGCUAUUCCCUCUGCUGUAAUGCCCUUCCCCCAACACCCCCCCCCCUUCCUCCAGGUUCCUGCUAACACAUAAUCUCCUUAGAGCUGCCUUUCCCACCCCAUUGAUCUAAAACAGCAUCCCAUUACCCAGCUCAUCUUUCUUCAUAGUACUUAUCACUCCCUGAUGUAUUUUGUUGUCUAUCCUUCUAGCAAUAUGAUAAAUCCUCAAAGAAAAUAAUAAAGGUU